CAGCAGCCGCGGUAAUACGAAGGGGGCUAGCGUUGCUCGGAUUUACUGGGCGUAAAGGGCGCGUAGGCGGACUGAUAAGUCAGGGGUGAAAUCCCAAGGCUCAACCUUGGAACUGCCUUUGAUACUGUUUGUCUUGAGUUCGAGAGAGGUAAGUGGAACUGCGAGUGUAGAGGUGAAAUACGUAGAUAUUCGCAAGAACACCAGUGGCGAGGGCGGCUUACUGGCUUGAAACUGACGCUGAGGCGCGAAAGCGUGGGGAGCAAACAGGAUUAGAUACCCGUGUAGUCCCUGUCUCUUAUAC
rnacentral:rRNA from 1 species